rnacentral:rRNA from 1 species
UACGUAGGGUGCAAGCGUUGUCCGGAAUUAUUGGGCGUAAAGAGCUCGUAGGCGGCUUGUCGCGUCGUUCGUGAAAACUCACAGCUCAACUGUGAGCUUGCGGUCGAUACGGGCAGGCUAGAGUUCGGUAGGGGAGACUGGAAUUCCUGGUGUAGCGGUGAAAUGCGCAGAUAUCAGGAGGAACACCGGUGGCGAAGGCGGGUCUCUGGGCCGAUACUGACGCUGAGGAGCGAAAGCGUGGGGAGCAAACAGG